ACGUACACUCCUACGGAGGCAGCAGUGGGGAAUAUUGGACAAUGGGCGCAAGCCUGAUCCAGCCAUGCCGCGUGAGUGAUGAAGGCCCUAGGGUUGUAAAGCUCUUUCACCGGUGAAGAUAAUGACGGUAACCGGAGAAGAAGCCCCGGCUAACUUCGUGCCAGCAGCCGCGGUAAUACGAAGGGGGCUAGCGUUGUUCGGAUUUACUGGGCGUAAAGCGCACGUAGGCGGACUAUUAAGUCAGGGGUGAAAUCCCGGGGCUCAACCCCGGAACUGCCUUUGAUACUGGUAGUCUUGAGUUCGAGAGAGGUGAGUGGAAUUCCGAGUGUAGAGGUGAAAUUCGUAGAUAUUCGGAGGAACACCAGUGGCGAAGGCGGCUCACUGGCUCGAUACUGACGCUGAGGUGCGAAAGCGUGGGGAGCAAACAGGAUUAGAAACCCUUGUAGUCCCAUGA
rnacentral:rRNA from 1 species